rnacentral:rRNA from 1 species
GACGAACGCUGGCGGCGUGCUUAACACAUGCAAGUCGAGCGGAUAAGGGCAGCUUUCGCGGGGAGCCAGCGUCGCGAAGGGGAGAAAUACCUAGGAGUCUCCCGCGUAUUGCUUUGUGAUAACCUGAAGAAAGCGGUGAUAACGCCGGAUUGGUGAUGCUGCAGGAUGGUGGGGGUCGGACAGCUUCGGCGGUUGGGGAUGGACUCGCGGCUUAUCAGUUUGUGGGGGGAGUAGUGGCUAAGCAAGGGUUUGACGGGUAGCCGGCCUGGGAGGGUGACCGGCCACAUUGGGACUGAGAUACGGCCCAGACUCCUACGGGAGGCAGAAGUGGGGAAUAUGGCACAAUGGGCGGAAGCCUGAUGCAGCAACGCCGCGUGCGGGAUGACGGCCUUCGGGUUGUAAACCGCUUUCGCCUGUGACGAAGCGUGAGUGACGGUAAUGGGUAAAGAAGCACCGGCUAACUACGUG